UUGGCUGCCAUAUCACACUUUUUGACUCUUGUGAGUCCACUCAGAAUCCCAGAUGUUGUUCAGACAAAUUGCUCACUCUGACUACCUUUUUCUAUAUUUGUGAAAUUGAAUUUUUCAGUCCUUUCAGUUUUCAGACUUUACAUUUAUUCUUUUUCGAUUUCUCCUUAGUAGAUUUGCCUUAGUACUGUAACCUGAGAUCUUUUUCCUUCUUCUUCAUUAUCCAGAAGAGGAAACCAAAGUCCAGAGAGGUAGCAAUUAUUUUUUCUCUUUUUUGAUUUUGUCUUUAGUCCAGUCUGUGAACAUGAAGACAAAUGAUUUCUGUGGACAUAUGGGAUGCAGAUGGCCAGUUGGAAGGUGCCGUGGACAUAUAGCAUGUGACCAAAAGGGACAGGAAGAGGAGGGAGAACCAAUGUUUGCCAAAUGGAAGAAAACAAAUUUUAAUCUGCCAUGAAGUACAGAUGAUGACAUCCCACUAUCAGCUCAUGGUAAGAAACACCUAGAGUGAGAGCCUGGGGGCUUAACCUGGGAGGAGUUUGGGCUGGGAUAUAUUUGAGCCA
rnacentral:lncRNA from 1 species